ensembl:lncRNA
CUGACACAAACACACAGAGACACACAGAGACACGCAGAGACACACAGAGACACACAGAGACACACAGAGACACACAGAGACACACAGAGACACACAGAGACACACAGAGACACACAGAGACACACAGAGACACACAGAGACACACACAUGCAAACCAUGCUCCGGUGUGUUGCAUUUAGCACAGAUCCAGAGAAAGGGAUGGAGAGAUGAAGGAGGGGUGGAGACAGAGGGAGAGAGAGAUGAAGAGAUGAAGAGAUGAAGAGAGAGGUGGAGACAGAGAGAGAGAGAGAUGAAGAGAUGAAGAGAGAGGUGGAGACAGAGAGAGAUGAAGAGAUGAAGAGAGGUGGAGACAGAGGGAGAGAGGGAUGGAGAGAUGAAGAGAGAGAGGGGUGGAGACAGAGGCAGAGAGGGAUGGAGAGAUGAAGAGAGAAAGAGGUGGAGACAGAGGGAGAGAGGGAUGGAGAGAUGAAGAGAGAGAGAGGGGUGGAGACAGAGGGAGAGAGGGAUGGAGAGAUGAAGAGAGAGAGAGGUGGAGACAGAGGGAGAGAGGGGUGGAGAGAUGAAGAGAGAGGUGGAGACAGAGGGAGAGAGGGAUGGAGAGAUGAAGAGAGAGAUGGUUGGAGACAGAGGGAGAGAGAGAUGAAGGAGAGAGGUGGAGACAGAGGGAGAGAGGGAUGAAGAGA